GGGGAUUAUUUAGGCUGUCCUAGCUGAAUACAUGUGAAAUUAAGGAUUCUUCCUUGUAGAAGACAUCUCUACUAAGUGCUUUCAAAUCUGAAGCAGGAUCAUGUCAUUUAUUGCAUCAUCACCUUAGAGGCACUAAAGAUUACAGUUUUUCUGGCCCGAUGUCUCCCAAAUGUCACUCAAAAAUUCUUCUGUGUCCAGAAGGUGUGGUGUAGUGCCAUCGUGUGGAUUCAGGAUGGGUGGAGGCAGAAAACUGGCUUGAAGGACAAAAGCAGGUGCACUAUGCCUGAGAUUUCAUAUGAGUGAGUCUGCUUGAUGACUGGUACAAGAGAGAAGCCACAUUACUGCUUUAAUUACUUAUAAUGAAGGAUCACGGGAUGGUGAUGUCAUCAUCUUAAGGCUGGCUAUGUCUAAGUGCACUG